UACACAAUCUUAUGAAGGUUUCACAUGAGCAACAUUGUGGUUACUAUAAUGUUUUUGUUUUAAUAGAUACUUAGAUUAACUGGACUCAAAAUGCAGAGUGUCAUGUCUGUGGUGGUCAGAGGCCCAGAACUCAGUUCAAUUCUCUAAGACUUGCAAAUGGCUUUCAAUUUGGUUUGCGCAUACGUGGGUAAGGAGAGACUCUCCUACAGAAAGAGGGCCCAGUGACCUUCAAGGUACUUGCCUUUGUCUCCCUCCCACUGCAACUGGGGUCGCCUUCAAGGUAAAGCCCUGGGAACAGGAGCAACUUCCUUAUGAUUGCUGAUCCUUCCAAAUCUGCUGCCUUUCCUUUUCUUUUGGUCUCCAGAGACCUAGGUAAUCAAUUAUUAUUAUUACUAAUAUAAUUAUUUUGUAUUUUACACAGAAUUUACAGCUGUUAUUUUUCAGGAGAAUCUAUUUGUGAGGAACUAAUUCCUGCCUAUCAGGAGCAGGAACGGUGAAUAAACAUUUAACCACAAAAAUAAUAAAGAGAAUCACUGGGCAACAAUUUUUCAAGUUUUCAUGAGAGUGAUUAUUACUGUAAUAACAAAACAAAACAAGCAAAAAGAAAGAACAAACAACAAACAAUGCAAACUGAGUUCUUUAAUUUGGAGAAUAAUGGAGGCAGAGUUGGUCAAAAUAUUUUUUUAAAUGUCUGGACCCUAGCAUAUUUUCAUGUGUGAUGACAAUAACAACAACAGUGAAUGUUUCUCAUGAUCUUUUCAUGUUCAUGUGAUGCCCACAGAGAUAAGAGGGAUAAGAGGUAGUUACACCUUUACUAAUACAUUAUUUUGCUGAAAUGCUUUUGCUAACGGUAUUUUUCUUAGGUGUAGUACGCAGCCUGAGGAAAAGGAGAAGCAUCGUUCAGGAUGAUGAAGUGACAUUUUGGGACCAAGUAUGAGGAGUUAAGGGAUUGGGAAGCAGUCUGGCAGAUGACAGACUUUGAACCAAACCACAGACAACUGACCAUUCACUGCACCAACUGUGGAAAACAGGACUAUACUGAUGGAGGUUCAGUGUACAAAGAGAUCUGCAGGGAACCAAGGGCAGGAUGCCCCAAGAUUUGCCCCAGUGGCAUAUUGAUUACAUUGAAUUGAAGUGACUGUAGAAACAGCCAGAGCAGGAGGAAUCUUAUGACCCUCCGGUUCCUCUGCUGAAACCAGGAAAUAAAUCUCCUGCGAAAAGUACCCUCCCUGCACCUGGAGGGGAGAAGGCUUAGUCCUUAUCACCACUGACAGGGAAUUCAGAGCCUUUGCAGAGGCUGAAUAAACAAUCUUGUUACUAAUUACUAAUCGGCUACUCCAGCCCAAAUGUUGUUUAGAAUUCCUUACUAAUUUAAACCCUCAAAGAUAAGUCUCCUUUGUCCUGUCAGUUCCUCACAAUUUAUUGUCUCUGUCUAAACUGCCCUGCCUUGGUCAUUUUUUUGGGUCUCAAUUUCAUUACUGGGCCUCCAUACAGACGUAAUUAAAUUUUGGUUUGUUUCUCCUGUUAAUCUGUCUCAUGUCAAUGUGAUAUUUAGGCCAGUUACAAGAACCUUGAAGGGUAGAGGAAAAUUUUUCCUCCCCUACAAUCUCUUUCAAAUCCAUGUCUAUUUUGGGUGUAUCUGACUGACAGAAAUUUAGGUCACAUGCUAUACCUU